CUACGCCUACGGGAGGCAGCAGUGGGGAAUAUUGCACAAUGGGGGGAACCCUGAUGCAGCGACGCCGCGUGAGUGAAGAAGUAUUUCGGUAUGUAAAGCUCUGUCAGCAGGGAAGAAGAAAGACGGUACCUGACCAAGAAGCCCCGGCUAACUACGUGCCAGCAGCCGCGGUAAUACGUAGGGGGCAAGCGUUAUCCGGCUUUACUGGGUGUAAAGGAAGCGUAGACGGCAGGGCAAGUCUGGAGUGAAAGGCAGGGGCUCAACCCCUGGACUGCUCCGGAAACUGUCCGUCUGGAGUGCGGGAG
rnacentral:rRNA from 1 species